ACUAAACUCAUAUUUCACGCGGCAAAGACUCUUCGCCUCCAACAUCGCGUUUUCCAUCCGAUUUCCACAACUCCCUUGUGCCACUUCAUCCCCACGGAUGAACCCGAAGCAAAGGUAAACAGGAUGGAUCGAGGCCUCGGCAUCAAUCUUUCUCCGACAUCAGCAUUCGAUUGCAAUUCAUCAAACGCACGUACAAAAAAGAAUAUUAAUCGAAUUUUGAAGCAUGAAACUCACCAAAUCGAAGCUUUAACACUAACAGGUGGAAAUUCAGUUAUGUCAUUGUGCUUGCAAUUUGCGUUCUACAGUGUGUUGCCAUUUCGGUUCGCCAAAUGCACUUGAUGGACAUGUAAUGGAUUCACCUAUGGAUAUCUGGACAGGGCGGUUAGAGGGUGACUGGAUACUGGUUGUAGAGUGUGGUGAAUGGAUAUUUAAAUGUAUAUCAGUUGUUAAAUGGAUAUUGUUAUUGUUAAAUGGUUA